CCUACGGGAGGCAGCAGUGGGGGAUAUUGCACAAUGGGGGAAACCCUGAUGCAGCGACGCCGCGUGGGUGAAGAAGCGCCUCGGCGCGUAAAGCCCUGUCAGCAGGGAAGAAAAGGACGGUACCUGAAGAAGAAGCCCCGGCUAACUACGUGCCAGCAGCAGCGGUAAUACGUAGGGGGCAAGCGUUAUCCGGAGUUACUGGGGGUAAAGGGGGCGCAGACGGCGAGGCAAGCCAGGAGUGACAGCGCGGGGCCCACCCCCGGGACUGCUCUUGGAAUGGCGUGGCUAGAGUGCAGGAGGGGCAGGCGUCUUUCCUGGUGUCGCGGUUAUGUGCGUCGAUAUCAGGAGGCACCCCGGUGGCGACGGCGGCCUGCUGGACUGCAACUGACGUUGCGGCCCGAUAGCGUGGGGAGCACACAGGAUUAGAUACCCGAGUAGUC
rnacentral:rRNA from 1 species